AUGGCUGCUUCAGCAGUAGGAGGAUGGGUAGCCUCAGCUUUCAUCACCAAGCUAGUUGAGAAGGUGUGCACCUAUGCUGGAGACCAGUAUGAAUACCAACGGAAAGAUACAAAGGAGAAACUAAGUACCCUAGAGAAGAAUCUAUCGUCGAUCCAAACAGCGAUACAUAUAGCUGAGAGAGUGCAGGCAAAGAACAUAGCCAUGGGAAGUUGGCUAAGGAGAAUCAAAGAUGCUGCCUGUCAAGCUGAGGAUGUUCUCGAUUUGUUUGACUAUCGAGUUCUCCAAGCACAAGCUGAAGACAGGGGCAUGAUUAGCUCAGUUGCUUCAGCUGCAGCUGGCUCAUCUUCUUCAUCCUCAAGCACCGUCACCACUGCCUCUACCACCACUAGCAGUAGCAGCAGCUCGACAGUAAAUCAGUCGGUUCGUCUUCUCAAACGCUUUCUAUUCUCUGAUGAAGAUAUAGAUGACUUGAUUUCUGUAGUCAAUAAGUUUGUUGAGAUUGAUAGUGAGAUGCAAAGAUUUCUGGAGUUUGUCAAGAUAGAGGACAGCAAACCGGAACAGGCAGUUCAGUGGCGCACAACAAGCUCUAUGCCAAGCUCAGAGAAGUUUUUCGGUCGAGUUAAUGAAGAAAACAAUCUGAAGAAAUUACUUGUUCAGAUCAAUGAACAAUCCAGUCAGCCAUAUGAUGUUAUAUCAAUUGUUGGUAUUGGUGGUGUUGGUAAGACAGCGCUAGUACAGAGAGUGUAUAACCACUUUCAUGACACACAUCACUUUGAUCUCACAGUAUGGCUCCAUGUCUCAGAUAAAUUUGAUGUUGGCCGUCUAACAAAAGAGAUGACAGAGUCAGAUAAUCUCAGCAGUAGUUUAGAUCAAGCUCAGAGGAUACUUCGGGAUAGGCUGAAUGGGAAAAAGGCUUUGAUAGUCCUUGACGAUGUAUGGAAUGUAUUGAGGAGCCAAUUGGAGAACCUGUUCAAACCCCUGAAGUUUGCUAGCCAGGGCAGCAAAGUAAUAGUUACAACUCGAAGUAAAAAUGUUGCAAGUAUGAAUGCAUCAACAGAGAUCAUGGAGUUACAUGGCUUAGAAGAUGAAGACUACUGGGAUUUCUUUUCACAAUGUGCAUUCGGUGAUGCAAAUCCUUCUGAUUUUCCACAACUGAAAAGAAUUGGCCAAGAAGUGGUGAGCAAGUUGGCCGGAUCACCUUUAGCUGCAAUGACAGUUGGGAGUUCAUUGAAAGCGGUGCUAAAAGAAGAACAUUGGAGUUCUAUCUGUGGAAAGAAAUUGUGUCAAAUAGAGCAAAAGGAAGAUGAUAUCAUAUCAGUAUUGCGACCGAGUUAUGAGCAUCUUCCUGACCAUUUGAAGCAAUGCUUUGUUUACUUUGCAUUGUUUCCUAAGAAAUACCACCUUCGAGGAGAUGAGCUAAUACAGAUGUGGAGAGCUCACGGUUUCCUUGACACGCAAACACCAGAUGAAACUGCACGUCGUUACAUCAAUGAUCUCUUGCAGCUUUUAUUCAUUGAGAAGGUACCCAACCAAGAGGACCACUAUGUAGUUCACGACUUGCUACAUGAUUUUGCAGAGUCGGUGUCCAAUGGAGAACACUUCCGAAUAGAAGAUGACUUCAAUGUAUGUAUUCCAAGAAAUGUUCGCCACCUAUAUGUCAGUGCAAGCAAUAUCUUAAAGGUGUACAUGAGUUUGGAAGAAUUAAAGAAAAAUCUGAGAAGCUUAAUAAUAAGCAAGGCACAAGAAGGUGCUUCUUGCGAAAGGGUCUCCUCGUCAAACUUUAAUCAUAUACUUGAACAUAUACUCAAAGAGCUAAGAAGCUUACGCGUUUUAGUACUGUGCAAUCCUGAUGGUAUGCUUCCAGACAGUCUUGAUCAUUUGGUCCAUCUUAGGUAUCUAAACAUCCAUGAAAGUAGAAACUUCAUCAAUGUCCCCAAGUCAUUAUUCAAACUCUACCAUUUACAAGGGUUGAGUCUGCAAACUCAAGACAGGAUCAUGAAAAAGGAACUCCAAGAGGGCUUAAGUAGGUUGACCCAGUUAAGAUACUUAAAGGCUCCGAAGAAAAUAAUUUCAAGCAUAGAAUUGAUUGGCAGGCCGAGAUCCCUCAAAAGAACUAGAGGAGAACAAAGUGAAGAGUAA
rnacentral:rRNA from 1 species